GUCUACGGCCAUGCCACCCUGAACAUGCCCGAUCUGUCUGACCUCAGAAGCUAAGCAGGGUCAGGCCUGGUUAGUACUUAGAUGGGAGACCACCUAGGAAUACCAGGUGCUGUAGGCA
rnacentral:rRNA from 1 species